AUGUCGAACCACCAAAAGUUGGUAAACGGCGGCGUUCUUCGCAUCACCGUGCACCAUGUGUACUAUCCGGUCACUGAGGAGACACUACAACAAGUGUUUACAGUGUAUGGCGUGGUGAAGAUCUCCGUGUUCCAAAGAAUCAACUAUGUGGCGGCAGUAGUUCAACUUCGAUCAAGACACGCUGCAGCGCGGGCUCUAGCCAUGCAUGGUCGGUGGAUCUAUGAGCGUGCCUGCCUCCUAGACAUCCAGGACGUGUCGUCGGAGUACAACCUCCAGUUGUGCUCACUGCUCGAGCAGAAGCAGACCGCAACCGUGGCCGCGUACACGGAUGCAUUCUGGGAAUGCGUACAUCGUGUGUUGGAUCUCAACCCCAACCUGAGCAUCAAGACCUUCGUCCACCAUUACAUCGAGGGCUUGCAGGAAGAUAUCCAAGAUGUUGUGCGGUCACGAUCACCGUUGAGCAUCACUGGUGCUUCGUCCCUUGCCCGGAUAAGGGAGGAUGAAAUUGUGCAGGAGGCAGCGAUGGUUGCCGAGAAACUUGAUGAUGGCCAUGGAGUUCACAUCCUCAUGCCUACGGUGAUCAUCAGAGACGUCUUCCUCGACCCCACUGCCCAACUAGAGUGUGAUGCAGACCACAACACCAUCACCAUUGACAAAAAUAACCUUGCUGCACCGACGCCCAUCACAUGUUCGACAGAGUGCCUGAGUCACGCCGCCGCCGUCGACAUCUGCUCUGAGCCUGCAACCUCUGCUCUAUGUGAGGAGACCCUCGACAUCGAAGCCAUCAGUGUUGCUACACCAACCUCUGUUGUGUGCUCUAUUGUUGGUCUGACUGAUGCCGAUCUGAACAGUUAUGUGGCGGUGCCCCUCAUCGUGUGGAGUGUGAAUCCAUUCUCUGCAACUCCUCCAAAGGUCCUGUCAACUUUAGCGCAUUGGCCGUUUUCCAUCCCCAAACUGAACGCCAUGGCAUCAACAAGGUGUUGGCGCCUCUGCUUCGACCACAUUGGCGCAUUGACCCCCAUGUACAUGCUGGAUGAGAAUGUGAACAUGAAGGAACAAGCACACAUGCUAUGA
rnacentral:rRNA from 1 species